rnacentral:rRNA from 1 species
AUUGAACGCUGGCGGCAGGCCUAACACAUGCAAGUCGAACGAGGCGCGGACGGGUGAGUAAUGUCUGGGAAACUCCCUGAGGGAGGGGUAAAACUAGUAGAAGCGGUAGCUAAUCGCGCAUACCAUCAUGUGUCCCCAUGUGGGAUGAGCUAGUUGGUGGGGUAACGGCUCACCAAGGCGACGAUCCCUAGCUGGUCUGAGAGGAUGACCAGCCACACUGGAACUGAGACACGGCCCAGACUCCUACGGGAGGCAGCAGUGGGGAAUAUUGCACAAUGGGCGCAAGCCUGAUGCAGCCAUGCCGCGUGUAUGAAGAAGGCCUUAGGGUUGUAAAGUACUUUCAGCGGGGAGGCGUUACCCACAGAAGAAGCACCGGCUAACUACGUGCCAGCAGCCGCGGUAAUAC